rnacentral:rRNA from 1 species
UACAGAGGUCUCAAGCGUUGUUCGGAUUCAUUGGGCGUAAAGGGUGCGUAGGCGGCGUCGUAAGUCAGAUGUGAAAUCUUCGGGCUCAACCCGGAAACUGCAUUUGAUACUGCGGUGCUUGAGGACUGGAGAGGAGAUCGGAAUUCACGGUGUAGCAGUGAAAUGCGUAGAUAUCGUGAGGAAGACCAGUAGCGAAGGCGGAUCUCUGGACAGUUCCUGACGCUGAGGCACGAAGGCCAGGGGAGCAAACGGG